UGCAAGUCGAGCGAUGAGGUCUCCUUCGGGGGGCACAUCAGCGGCAGACGGGUGAGUAACACGUAGGUAACCUACCCCAGAGACAGGGAUAACCCUAGGAAACGAGGGCUAAUACCGGAUGACCUCCGGAAGGAGGAAAGGCUCAGGCGCUCUGGGAGGGGCUUGCGGCCCAUCAGCUAGUUGGUAGGGUAAAGGCCUACCAAGGCGAAGACGGGUAGGGGGUGUGAGAGCACGGCCCCCCACAAUGGGACUGAAACACGGCCCAUACUCCUACGGGAGGCAGCAGCAGGGAAUAUUGCACAAUAGGCGAAAGCCUGAUGCAGCGACGCCGCGUGAGUGAAGAAGGCCUUCGGGUCGUAAAGCUCUUUUGUAGGGGAAGAGGAAGGACGGUACCCUAAGAAGAAGCGUCGGCUAACUACGUGCCAGCAGCCGCGGUAAGACGUAGGACGCGAGCGUUAUCCGGAAUUACUGGGCGUAAAGGGCCAGCAGGCGGCUUGGUAAGUUGUGCGUGAAAGCCUCGUGCUCAACGCGAGGAAGCCGGACAAUACUGUCAAGCUAGAGGGCAUCAGAGGGGAGUGGAAUUCCCGGAGUAGCGGUAAAAUGCGCAGAUAUCGGGAGGAACACCGAUGGCGAAGGCAGCUCCCUGGGAUGCACCUGACGCUAAGAGGCGAAAGCUAGGGGAGCGAACAGGAUUAGAGACCCUGGCAGUCCUAGCUGUAAACGCUGGGUGCUAGGUGUGGGACGUAGAAGUUCCGUGCCGGAGCAAACGCGAUAAGCACCCCGCCUGGGAAUUACGGUCGCAAGGCUAAAACUCAAACGAAUUGACGGGGCCCCGCACAAGCAGCGGAGCGUGUGGUUCAAUUCGAUGCUACACGAAGAACCUUACCUGGGUUUGACAUGUACGUGGUACGAAGGCGAAAGCCUAAGGACCCUUCGGGGAGCGUACACAGGUGCUGCAUGGCUGUCGUCAGCUCGUGCCGUGAGGUGUCGGGUUAAGUCCCGUAACGAGCGCAACCCUUGCCCUUAGUUACAAGUGUCUAAGGGGACUGCCGGCGGGAAGCCGGAGGAAGGUGGGGAUGACGUCAAGUCAGCAUGGCCCUUAUGUCCAGGGCUACACACACGCUACAAUGGUCAGUACAAAGGGUAGCGAAGUCGCG
rnacentral:rRNA from 1 species